rnacentral:misc_RNA from 1 species
UCGAGUUUCGGGUCUCUCGUAGGCCCAAAUUCCAACCCUUAUGUUUAUCAUACCACGUUGCUUCGGCGGGCCCGUCCUCUGGACCGUCGGAGGGGCUGUCAAAACCCCCCUCUGGCCCGUUUGCCCGUCGAUAGCCUACACACUUAACACUCUUGAUUAACCAUGUCGUCUGAGUACUAUAUAAUAGUUA